UAUUAGAAAAACUAGUUUAAUUCACUUAACCUUAUUUCUACAGUUUCCAUUUUGUAGUAUGUCCAUUACUAUGGCUUAAAGAGAAAAAUGCUCACAGAUGCCCUUGUUACUGAUAAGGUCAUUGUCCAUGUAUUUCAGGGACAUCACUUGUCUGUUUACUUGAGUUUGGCAUUGAAUUUUCAAAGGUGAGGAAAGCCUCCCUUCCUGGACUGCAACAACUUAAAGCAAAAAGUGUUUCAUACCAACACAUGUAUUGUCCCAAUUUAAAGAUGAGACUAGGCGUACAAAACAGCUGACGAUUAAGUCAGAGCACAAUUACAUAGUGAGAAAAAGAAAGGAAGAAGAAGGAGAAGAGGGAAGGAGAGGGAGAAGGGAAAGAGAGAAGGAAGAAGAGGAGGAAGAAAAAGAAGGGGAGGAGGAGGAAGAGGAGGAGGAGGCAGAGGAGUUGUCUUUAUUAAGAUUUUCUCUAGAAAGGAAGAAUGCUUUAUCACCUGCUGUCCCGUUCUACUCCUGAGAACAGAGACAGGAAGCUAAUAUUGUACAUUUUCUCCUUUCUUUCCAACUGCAAAGAUUUUUAUGUAUCUUUUUAGUUCCUGAUUUUAAAAAGCACGUUUAAGGCAGCAUGGAUGGAUGCAAACACGAGUGAGACCUGCCCCUGCCAUGGUGAAGUUUAUAAAUCUAACGGGGAACGAGACCAGUGGCGAUGGGGAAAAAAGCAAGUAUGUUAAUAAAUAACACGUCAUAAGGGAGGAACAAAGUGCCAAAGGCCUUGAGAAGAAAGAAAGCACAUCCACCCAGACGGAGGGAAGGAGUGAUUCUGGAGGUGCCUGCAUUGGAUUUGGAUUUUGAAUGAACAAGAUUUCAACAGGAAGAGCAUCUAGCAUCGUGCCUCGCACCUAUCAACAGAAGUUACCAAGACUGCUCAGCUGUUUAUUUGGGAAGUCAAUGAUUUGUUUGAAAUGACUGAAGAAUUAGCCUUGAAUAGUCUACGUGGAACAACUACAGGUGCUGGAAUAUAGCAGUGAACAAAACAGACCAAAAUCUCUGCCUUCAUGGAGCUUGCAUUUCAUGGAUGGAAAACCAUGACAUCUCUAUAACACCCCUUAAAAUGGCCCAAAGACGUGAGUGAAUAGCCUUAGAGUCUCGAAACUCAAUUGACCAUUAUAGGCGAGAAGAAGACCGGUACAAAUGUAAGGUAGGUUUUCACAGCGGGUGUUGGCAAGGUGAGGGAGUCCCUGGCUGAUGACUUCAAUAAAGUAUAAAGUUUGGGCUAGGUCAUCAACAGAAAGCGACAGAGUUGGAUGUGCAUGGGUGUGGGAUGCAUAAAAACUGUUCACUGGGUUCACUGGGUUCCCUGGUUGGUUCAAAUUGACAAAGGCAGCUACAGACAUUCAGCAUCAAUUUUUUACUAUCCCAUUCACACUUUUGGUAUCCAUUUUCUUCUAUUUCUUAUACAAUCUUACUUUCAGACUGAUGGCUUAUAGCUCAAACUUGGGUUAGGGUAAAUUAUGGUCAUCCUAUGUUAAAUAUCACUUUUAUCAUUUUAGAGCUUUUAUUAUGGGAUGAGUAAGAGAUGGCUACGUGCAGAGGGAAUUCAGACAGAUUAACGGACUAAGGAGAGAUUUGUAUAGAAAUCAUCUUAGCCUUCACAUACUUAUCAGUACCAGAAUCCAGGUAGGACAUCACAGUCUCCUGACACCCAUCACUGACAACCUCCUUUUUAUAAUGUGACCAUUUAGGGGGAACACACAGUGCAAUGUAUUACUGUACAAAGAAGGCAUUGAAGCACCUGCAGCAUUGCUUGAUGCCUUUGACUCUGCACUGGGCAUAAGGUUAAAGGGGAAAGAAUAGUGAAGAAAGAAGGCACAGACUACUCCUACCAGCUGCUGAUUAUAGUCAGGCAUGCCCAUUGCUGAUUCAUAAAACCAUCUUCUAAAACUCCAUCUUUCCUCUCAAAACACUUAGCAAAUUCAAAAGAAAAAAAAAUACCUCAUCUGGUUGGAAGGUUGAAUCUUUGCUUCUGUACUAACUUUGUUUUCAGGAAUGAAAACUUUUGCUAAAAAGAGGCUCUGUGAAGGAGAAGCA